rnacentral:rRNA from 1 species
CCUACGGGAGGCAGCAGUGAGGAAUAUUGGUCAAUGGGCGCGAGCCUGAACCAGCCAAGUCGCGUGAGGGAGGACGGCCCUACGGGUUGUAAACCUCUUUUGCCGGGGAGCAACGGGCGUCACGUGUGGCGCCACUGAGAGUACCCGGAGAAAAAGCAUCGGCUAACUCCGUGCCAGCAGCCGCGGUAAUACGGAGGAUGCGAGCGUUAUACGGAUUUAUUGGGUUUAAAGGGUGCGUAGGCGGAUCGGUAAGUCAGUGGUCAAAUUGAGGGGCUCAACCCCUUCCCGCCAUUGAAACUGGCGUUCUUGAGUGGAAGAGAAGUAUGCGGAAUGCGGGGUGUAGCGGUGAAAUGCAUAGAUAGCACGCAGAACCCAGAUUGCGAAGGCAGCAUGCCGGCUUCCGACUGACGCUGAAGCACGAAAGCGUGGGGAUCGAACAGGAUUAGAUACCCGAGUAGUC